rnacentral:lncRNA from 1 species
AGGCAUCUCAAUGUUUUGCCGGCAAUCAACGGUGCCAUGGUGUUUGAAAUUCAUUCCCAUUUCUUGCAUGGGACCUAAGCAUGCACCCAAGGAGACAUAUUUGAUUUUUCAACCAAUUUAUAUGCACUGGAGCAUGCGCAUGUAGUUCAAAUUUGAAUUAUGCACAUAAAUGCAUUGAAAACUCAGUUAAUGCAUAAAAAUGUCCAAACGAACCCUGAAAAUCACAAAAAAUCACACGACACUCCUGUUGUUCUAUGUUGACAUGAGAAUUUUUUUUGAAAGCAAUAAGAUGCAAUGGAUACCGUUUCCUCCCCAAAGGUGGGACGUUCCCUACCGAAAACCAUCAUGCUUGUUGUGAGAAGCUCCGGUUUGUGAGAAGCAUAUACCCAAACCUGCCCCAAAUGGGAUAAAAUUUGUACCACGACAUGUUGAUGCCUCUACAUGAUAGCAUGCCAAGUUUCAUGAAUUUCAGACGAGUUUUGGAUUUACUAGAAUUUAAAAACCAGACAUCUCAAUGUUUUGCCGGUAAUCAACGGUGCCCUGGUGUUUGAAAUUCAUUCCCAUUUCUUGCAUGGGACCUAAGCAUGCACCCAAGGACACCGAUUUGAUUUUUCAACCAAUUUAUAUGCACUGGAGCACGCGCAUGUAGUUCAAGUUCGAAUUGUGCACAUAAAUGCAUUGAAAACUCAGUUAAUGCAUAAAAAUGUCCAAACGAACCCCGGAAAAUAACAAAAAUUCACACAACACUCCUGUUGUUUUAUGUUGACAUGAGAAAGAAAUUUGAAAGCAAUAAGAGGCAAUGGAUAUCAUUACGUGCCCAAUGGUGGGACGUUCCCUACCGAAAACCAUCAUGCUUGUUGUGAGAAGCUCCGGUUUGUGAGAAGCAUAUACCCAAACCUGCCCCAAAUGGGACAAAAUUUGUACCACGGCAUGUUGAUGCCGCUCCAUGAUAGCAUGCCAAGUUUCAUGAAUUUCAGACGAGUUUUGGAUUUACUAGAAUUUAAAAACCAGGCAUCUCAAUGUUUUGCCGGCAAUCAACGCUGCCCUGGUGUUUGAAAUUCAUUCCCAUUUCUUGCAUGGGACCUAAGCAUGCACCCAAGGACACAGAUUUGAUUUUUCAACCAAAUUAUAUGCACUAGAGCACGCGCAUGUAGUUCUUGAAUUAUGCACAUAAAUGCAUUGAAAACUCAGUUAAUGCAUAAAAAUGUCCAAACGAACCCCGAAAAAUAACAAAAAAUUACACAACACUCCUGUUGUUCUAUGUUGACACGAGAAAAAAAUUUGAAAGCAAUAAGAGGCAAUGGAUAUCGUUUCGUGCCCAAAGGUGGGACGUUCCCUACCGAAAACCAUCAUGCUUGUUGUGAGAAGUGGUUUGUGAGAAGCAUAUACCCAAACCUGCCCCAAAUGGGACAAAAUUUGUACCACGGCAUGUUGAUGCCGCUCCAUGAUAGCAUGCCAAGUUUCAUGAAUUUCAGACGAGUUUUGGAUUUUAUAGAAUUUAAAAAAUAGGCAUCUCGAUGUUUUACCGGCAAUCAACGGUGCCCUGGUGUUUGAAAUUCAUUCUUUCUUGCAUGGGACCUAAGCAUGCACCCAAGGGCACAGAUUUGAUUUUUCAACCAAUUUAUAUGCACUGGAGCAUGCGCAUGUAGUUCAAAUUUGAAUUAUGCACAUAAAUGCAUUGAAAACUCAGUUAAUGCAUAAAAAU